rnacentral:lncRNA from 1 species
GUCAGUGGUCUUCAUCUAUCCCAUCGUAUUUCCUUUAUCAUAUUUCUCAGUUUUAUUCAGCUUCCAUCAGGGAAAAUCAAGGUUUUUCUGCCUUUCCUCUCUGAGUUACCACAAGGCCUGACGACACGCUGCUGCUGCACCAGGCAGGACGGGACGGCGGGCUUGUCUGCACUGCUGGAAAGCAAGCAGCCAGGAACGGGCAUGCACAAGCAACCUGCAGAGCUCGGUGACCACAUUUCUUUGGUGUCUGCUGCCCAGCUGGAAAAGAGGUGUGCCUCUCAGAGUGUGCAGCCCUGAGGACCACAGAGGGAGGUGGGAGCAGCACCGUGGAAGAUGGAACUUGACGAUGUUGGCAAUACGUCUCCAUGCAAAAAAACAAAGGUGUGUUUAUAAAGGCAUGUGCCAGGUUAAAGAGACAAAUGCUGU